rnacentral:rRNA from 1 species
AUUGAACGCUGGCGGCAGGCUUAACACAUGCAAGUCGAGCGGGGGAAGGUAGCUUGCUACCGGACCUAGCGGCGGACGGGUGAGUAAUGCUUAGGAAUCUGCCUAUUAGUGGGGGACAACAUCUCGAAAGGGAUGCUAAUACCGCAUACGUCCUACGGGAGAAAGCAGGGGAUCUUCGGACCUUGCGCUAAUAGAUGAGCCUAAGUCGGAUUAGCUAGUUGGUGGGGUAAAGGCCUACCAAGGCGACGAUCUGUAGCGGGUCUGAGAGGAUGAUCCGCCACACUGGGACUGAGGCACGGCCCAGACUCCUACGGGAGGCAGCAGUGGGGAAUAUCGGACAAUGGGGGGAACCCUGAUCCAGCCAUGCCGCGUGUGUGAAGAAGGCCUUAUGGUUGUAAAGCACUUUAAGCGAGGAGGAGGCUACUCUAGUUAAUACCUAGGGAUAGUGGACGUUACUCGCAGAAUAAGCACCGGCUAACUCUGUGCCAGCAGCCGCCGUAA